rnacentral:rRNA from 1 species
UGAGGAAUAUUGGUCAAUGGACGAGAGUCUGAACCAGCCAAAUCGCGUGAAGGAAGACUGCCCUACGGGUUGUAAACUUCUUUUGUACAGGAAUAAAAGACAUUACGUGUAAUGUAUUGCAUGUACUGUACGAAUAAGCAUCGGCUAACUCCGUGCCAGCAGCCGCGGUAAUACGGAGGAUGCGAGCGUUAUCCGGAUUUAUUGGGUUUAAAGGGUGCGCAGGCGGGAUUUUAAGUCAGCGGUGAAAUUUUCAGGCUCAACCUGAACACUGCCGUUGAAACUGGGAUUCUUGAGUAUGGAUGAAGUAGGCGGAAUUCGUUGUGUAGCGGUGACAUGCUUAGAUAUGACGAGGAACUCCGAUUGCGUAGGCAGCUUACUAAGCCAUAACUGACGCUCAAGCACGAAAGCGUGGGGAUCAAACA